rnacentral:misc_RNA from 1 species
AGAGCGUGGAAGUUUCGGUAGCGAGUUUUUUGUCGAUGCGAUCAAGCGGCAACGAUAAAACGUGCGGACCGUGAUUAUAGGGCCUUCCUGCGACCUCGUGGCCAUGCUGGUUCCGUACGUUGAAAAUGAUUGACACGCUCCUGGGAUAAGCCGCGAGUGCAAACGUACCAAUCACUUUUCCAACAUCUUUACGGUGGAGCCUCGAGUGGAAGGUUGCACAUGGCACGCUGCUUCUUUUCGUUGCACACGCCGCGGUCAGGGCCCCCUCCAACGGUGAGAAAUCAAGGCGGGGAACGAUCAAUAAAUUCAAGCGCACAUUCAACGGAGGACCAAACAGCUCACAAACCAACGUGCAAGUAACAUUGCUACCAGUGUCAUUAUAAACCCUGUGAAAAACCUCAAACUUCUGGAAAACAUGCCGGGACCCUGCUGCGACAAGUGCAAAGACAGCUGCAAGGAUGGAUGUCAGUGCGGUGACAACUGCAAGUGCUGUGACGACGGUUGCGGAGACAAAUGUACCUGCAAGUCCGGAGGCACGUGCGCCUGCAAAACGUGCGCCUGCAAAUGAAGAAAUUUCGUGAACUAAGGCUACCCACCAAAUUUGGCUUUAAUCAUUUUUUCUCUCUAUGAUACCGUAGAUUAUUAGAGCACGAGGUAAAAAUGACAGAAAAUAUGUCCAUCCGUUCAUAUUUAUUCCUACACACGCGAUUCAGAAAAAAGCAACAAACAUCAACGCAAUUGUCACCGCAGAAUUGCGACGCUGCAUUCAUUUUGUUUAUGAAGGCAACGACGUCAAAUAUUUGAUUCAAUAAAAGAUUUGUGCUCAUUGCAA